UUAGUCUUUUAAUUGAAGACUGGAAUGAAAGAGUAAACCGAGAGAAAUUUUUUUGAAUUAAAUUAAUGAAUUUUACUUUUUAGUAAAAAGGCUAAAAUAUUUCUUUUAGACAAGAAGACCCUGUAAAACUUUAUAUUUAAAGUUCUUUUUAGAAUAAAUAAGUAUUUUACUGGGGCGGUAGAGAAAUAAGACUUUCUUUGAAAAAAAAAACAAACAAGUUCUAAUACCUAAAAAUUUUAAAAAAGAAAUAAGUUACUUUAGGGAUAACAGCUUAAUUUACUUAGAGAGAUCAAAUUGACAAGUAAGUUUAUGACCUCGAUGUUGAAUUAAUGUCCCUUUUUUGUGUAAAAGCUAAAAAGGAG
rnacentral:rRNA from 1 species